UCUCCUCCUAACUCAGUGUGUGACUGCUCCUGUAUCCAGCUGGGAUUUCCUGGACUCAUAGAAAAACAGCUGACAGASAGCUCAUAGAUGCUAGAUUAAUAAAGCUGAAGGAACAACACAACACUAGAAGUCAUUCAGGAAUGGAAGAUGCAGUGAGAGCAUCCCUUGCAGAGAGAUAAGGAAGAAGACACAACCGCCAGAAGGCUGGUGUGGGACAGGCAUGACACAAAUCUGCAGAACUGAAAUUACUGUUUUAAUUAAA